rnacentral:lncRNA from 1 species
UUGGUGUAACGUUUCUCAAGAAAAAAAAGACAUUGAAUGUAACAUUAACAUGACAAAUUAAAACUAAAAUGAUAAUUAAAACGAUGUUGUUUUGAUUUUUUUUUUUGGUAAAUGAAAAAUAAUUUUAGUUCCUAUAGAUAUGGGCUCUCCUUUUCCCAGCAGAAACGUUAUACCCUCUUCUUCUUUUUACAAAUCCGAUAAGAUUUUCCACUGGAACACCACCUCCAUCAAGAAGAAGAGAGAUUCUGCAGAUAGAGAGCUGUGCAUGAUUUGAGAGUGGAUGUUACACAUCAAUAAUAAUAAUAAUAAUAAUAAUAAUAAUAAUAUUUUGACUGUCACUUUAGUUUCAAUUUACUAUGACAAUGUCACGUCAAUUUCAAUUUGCAAGUUAAUGUCACAUUAGUUUUCAUUUGGGAAAAAAAUUUAAUCCAUGAUGAAAAAUUUAAAUAAAUUAAAGUUUAUGUAUUGUUCGGUACUUCCUUCGUCCUCAUAAAAUGUACUCCCUCCGUCCCAUAAGAGUUUACCCUUAUUUUUAUUUUGAGACGUCCCACAAGAGUGUGCAUUUGUCAUUUUUGGACACUAUCUCACCACUAACUCCGAUCCUUAUUUCUUACUCGUAUUUUAUACUAAAGUGAAUCACUUUUUCAACUCUCAAUACACUCAUCUUAGCAAUUCUUGGGCUAUCAUGGCGGACGGCACUCGACUGAAGGAAUUACAGGAAGCGCAGAAAUUAUGGGAAAAAUAGUGGAAAGUAAAAACACGCCUAACACACUAGGCAAACACGCUUUCUUAGCCACUCAAAUUAACCUCCAAGCCUUCUUCUCCAUUCACAGUAGAAUUCUCUUGUUUACAACCUACAGCAGAAUCGUCCAAAUCAAUUCCCAUCACAAUACGGGCAUUUUCUAGCCCUAUCUCACCCUUUCUCUGCUCAGACGGUUGCUAAAUUAUUCUUGGAUAAUAUCUACAAGUUACAUGGGCCACCUAUUAGUAUUGUGUCUGAUCGUGACAAGGUUUUCACAAGCUUGUUUUGGAGGGAAUUAUUUAAACUCAUAGGAACUCGAUUGGAUAUGUCUAUGGCAUAUCAUCCCCAGUCGGAUGGUCAAACCGAGCGACUGAAUCAGUGCUUGGAGUCCUACCUUCGUUGUAUGGUAGGGGCUCAUCCAAAGCAGUGGGCUAAGUGGCUACCCUUAGCCGAGUAUUGGUAUAAUACCAAUUAUCAUAGUGGAAUUAAACUUACUCCCUCUCAGGCUCUAUAUGGCAUUCCACCACCCCAUACAGGAUUAGGGGCUUACCUCCAUUCCACAAAUUAGGAAGUGAAAGAGUGGCUGACUCAGAGACAAGAGAUAGUCUGUAUUUUAAAAGAAAAUUUACUACAAGCUCAAGGUCGUAUGAAGUUUUAUGUGGAUCAGCACAGGAGUGAACGUACCUUCGAAGUUGGGGACUUUGUGUAUCUCAAGCUUCAACCUUUUCGUCAAAACUCGAUUUCCUUGCGGAAAAACUUGUAAUUGGCCGCCAAAUACUAUGGCCCAUAUGCAGUCCUGGAGAAAAUAG